UUCGAUGAUACGCGACGGAACCGUUACCUGGGCUCGAACGUAAGAUGACUGUAGGUGAAAGCUUACAUCUCUUCGGAGCAUUUUACGAGGUGCUGCAUGGUUGUCGUCAGCUCGUGCCGUGAGGUGUCGGGUUAAGUCCCAUAACGAGCGCAACCCUACCUUUAGUUGCCAUCAGGUAAUGCUGGGGACUCUAAAGGAACUGCCUACGCAAGUAGUGAGGAAGCGGGGAUGACGUCAAAUCAGCACGGCCCUUACGUCCAGGGCUACACACGUGCUACAAUGGCCGAUACAGAGGGCAGCUACCUGGUGACAGGAUGCAAAUCUCCAAAGUCGGUCUCAGUUCGGAUCGGAGUCUGCAACCCGACUCCGUGAAGUUGGAUUCGCUAGUAAUCGCGCAUCAGCCAUGGCGCGGUGAAUACGUUCCCGGGCCUU
rnacentral:rRNA from 1 species